GCCAUUUCGUAGUUUUUCUACAAAUUUUGGUGGUCGACAUUUUAUGUUUACACUGCAGAAGUUAUGCCAAAAAAAGUGCUGGAGUUUCAACAGAAUGCACAAUUGUGCAUACUAUGAGAAUAAUGGAACAUUAUUUAUACAACAAUGACACUGUCACAAAGAUAUGAAGGUAAAAUCAGUGAUGUUGAAACUUGAAAAUGAUUUGGAUUGUUUAUAUGAGAGACAGG
rnacentral:lncRNA from 1 species